rnacentral:lncRNA from 1 species
UAUGAGCAGCUGCUCGUGAAAAAGUUGAGAGAGAAUAUGAAUGACUUUUUUUGUACGUUGUUGUAUAUGUCUCUAAAUGAGGUAGGUUUUCCUUUAUAUAGUAGUGAGAAGGACCGUUGGAGUGAUGACAGAAUAUUGGUCUUUGAUGAGCAUUCAAUGUCAUUACUUUUGUGUUUCUUGCCAUAACCAUUUUGUCUCCCUGAAUAACUUCUUUCUUGUAGUGAGAAGGACCGUUGGAGUGAUGACAGAAUAUUGGUCUUUGAUGAGCAUUCAAUGUCAUUACUUUUGUGUUUCUUGCCAUAACCAUUUUGUCUCC